AUUGAACGCUGGCGGCAUGCCUAACACAUGCAAGUCGAACGAGUGGCGGACGGGUGAGUAAUGUCUCGGAAACUGCCUGAUGGAGGGGGAUAACUACUGGAAACGGUAGAUAAUACCGCAUACCAUCGGAUGUGCCCAGAUGGGAUUAGCUAGUUGGUGGGGUAAAGGCUCACCAAGGCGACGAUCCGUAGCUGGUCUGAGAGGAUGACCAGCCACACUGGGACUGAGACACGGCCCAGACUCCUACGGGAGGCAGCAGUGGGGAAUGUUGCACAAUGGGGGAAAGCCUGAUGCAGCCAUGCCGCGUGUAUGAAGAAGGCCUUCGGGUUGUAAAGUACUUUCGGCGGAGAGGCGUUACCCGCAGAAGAAGCACCGGCUAACUCCGUGCCAGCAGCCGCGGUAAUUC
rnacentral:rRNA from 1 species